rnacentral:lncRNA from 1 species
GGCAGAGGCUCACAGACCUGCCUCCUCCAUUAGCUGUCUGUCUACAGGCAGAGGCUCACAGACCUGCCUCCUCCAUUAUCUGUCUGUCUACAGGCAGAGGCUCACAGACCUGCCUCCUCCAUUAUCUGUCCACCAUGAUGCUAUCAGUACGCCAAGACAAGGUGAAUGAGCAUUAACGCUACAGUCAAUAUGAAGUUUAUUUCCAAAAUGCUAAAUCCACAAAUUUCUCACAUUUGUGUUUUUCAUCAGAAAUGAUUACUUAUGGGUUUCUUCGUGUGUGUGUAAAAUAUUACUGUUCUCCGAUUUUUAAUUCAUGAUUGUUAUUAUUUAUUUUUGCAAAACGCUAUAUAUCCAUUGUGCUGGAAUAGCUGGAAUGGAAUGUUGGUAUCCUGUAUAUUUGACUGUGAUACGUGGUUGUCUCACCUAGCUAUCUAGAUGAAUGCACUUACUGUUAAUUGCUCUGGAUUUACAUUUGACUAAAAUGUGAAAUGUAAAUGUUUUACAUCCAGAUCUCAUAUUAGUGUUUUUAAUUACUUUUCAUUUGUUACAUUUUACUGUGUAAAACCCAGCAGUACUACUUAUUUCUCUGAGAGUGAGGCGGAUAUAAAGCGUUUUGCCAAAAAUAUAGAUUAUUUGUUUCUCUGAAAUGAAUACAUCAAGUGAUAGAUUUUAAACAAAUACAUAUCUGUCAUUGAACAACCCUAUGCCAUGAUUAGACAGUGAAAAAACACACCAAUUUCUUUAAACAAUAAAAGCUGAUUUUUCAACAUUUCUGAAAAUGGAUAUAUAGCGUUUUGGAAUGAAAGUCUUCAUGCAGUAUAUCAAUCAAUAUUAGCACAAUAAAGCUGAAUUUCACUGACCGGUUUAGUGUGGAAACCUGAGCUGGAGGGCAUGAAGUGCCUGGACACAGAGCUCAGUGUGUAGACCAGGUCACCAGUGGGACAUUUACAUGUCUCUACAGUCAAAACCAAAGCCCUUCUCCUCAAACGUACACCCCUGUCUGCACUCCCCCUGCCACAGAGCUUCUGUAGACUGAUGUGUGUGUGUGUGUCUGUACGUGUUUGUGUGUGUAUGCUUGUGUGCUUGUGUGUGUGAUGUGCGUGUGUGGGUGUGUGUGUCUAUUGGUGUGUGUGUGUGUGUAGUCCAGAGAGGUAACCAGGUGCAGACAGGAGGCAUCCAGACAGACACGUCAGAGUGUUUAAAAAGGGAAGAAUGGCUUCUUGGCCCCCUGGGUUAAGGGAGGGAGCAGGCAUGGACAUCUAUUUAUACCAGCCCAGAGAGAGGAGAGCAGAGAACAGGGAGGGGGUUGCCAGGCCAGGUCCAGUUACACAUGGCUGGAUGGGUGGGUGGGGGAUGGGGAUUCUGGUCAAAGUCAGACAGGCUGACCUCCCUAUAACCUCUGGUGCUGAUAUGGGCCUUGUGAGACGUCCUGGUUGUGCUGUAAAUGUGUGUCUGUCUGUGGAGUGAUAUUCCGCUGUACGCUGUACGUAUGUUGACAGUAUGAUAAAAAAAUCACAUAAGUGCGAUCCAGUGCAUAGCAAAUCCUUAACCCUCACACCCAGAGCCAGAGUUAAUAUGGCCUGUAUGGAAGUAGGAUUAACCAAAGUUAGCUGAUUUAGCCCCAGUUAGCUGAUCUAUCCCCAGUUAGCUGAUCUCGCACCAGUUAGCUGAUCUAGCCCCAGUUAGCUGAUCUACCCCCAGUUAGCUGAUUUAGCCCCAGUUAGCUGAUCUAGCCCCAGUUAGCUGAUUUAGCCCCAGUUAGCUGAUCUAGCCCCAGUUAGCUGAUCUCGAACCAGUUAGCUGAUCUCGAACCAGUUAGCUGAUCUUGCCCUAGCCUCAUCUUUGUAGAAGAACAAUGGCCUCAGUCAUUGCAGUGACAGGGCAUGCAGCUGGGAUCACCCAAAGGAGGGAGCUUUACCCUCCAGCUGCUUCUCAUCACAAGCACGCACACAAGCAUGCACAUAGACAUGCACUCAGUAAAGGUCACAGUCCCACUACUGCCCAUAAGCCACCAUGCUAACACCCAAACCCUAUUACCCAUGCAUCUUCCUGGUGACCCAGAGGGCCUCUUGUCCAUUAAGACAAGGCAACAGAUCUGAAACGUCCAUCCCUCUGCCUGCCGGCUGCCUCCUUCAGUUUGACGGUGCCCCAGCCCCUGGCCAUCUGACGAGGCUAGUGCCUGCUGCGGAGUGCCCUGCCAACACAAAGCUGCAUCUGUCGUAGGUCUAUUAAUAGAGGGUGGGACACAUACCUCUCCUCUGCUCUCUCUCCCUGGCUCUGAACAUUACUGGACCACUGGCUGGCAGAGUGGACAGACAGAAGGUGUACUACAGUACAUACAGUAACCUUGACGAACAGGCUAGCAGCUAGGACAGUUAUCUAUACUAUACUGUACAGUUAGCUAUACAAUUAGCUAUGGUUAGCUAUAGCCGACAGUUAGCUACCACAGAGUUAGCUACAGUUAACUAUUGUACAGUUCGAGCUUUUGCCAGGAUAAGGUCUGCCAUGUAAACCAUUGUUAUCAAUGCCAGCUAGCUGUAGAAUUAGUCAUACAGGACAACCAUAAAAUGCAUUGAUAAAGCAGACUAAUGCUCCUGUCUAAUGUAUAUCAGACAUAAAAUAAAAAGCUCUUGAGUCCAACUUGAUUUUUCUUCAGGCCUGUGUGUGUGUGUGUGUGUGUGUGUGCAUGCAUGGCUGUAUGUGCGUGUGUGUGUGCAUGUGGCAGUGCCAGUGAGUGUUAGCGUGAGAUAUGUGACCAUGUUGCGUGGCCAUCUGCUCCGUGUAACCAUAAAGACACAGGCCCACCAGAGGCAAGGCAGCUUCACAGUAUCAUUUCCACAAGGUCUGGUCUGGGUAUGGAUGCAUGGGGAAAUGGGUGCUUAUGUCUCUGGGUAGAUGAUACACAGAUAAGGCAUGGUUAAUGCGAUAUUUAUAAUUCAUUCCACAAACACAAUAUGGAGGCCAUUCUGUGCCAUACUGGAGCCCAUGGGCAGAUUAGAGGAAGGAGAGUGAAGAGAGCGAGAACAGACUAAAGAAUUGAGCUACAGUACGGGGGUGAGACUGUCUGUCCCCAAAGAGAGUGUGUCUGAAGGGUGUUCAACAGCCGAACACAGGCUUCUGUCUAGUCUAUGUGGUUCUAGUCUAUGUGGCUUCUCUCUAUGUGGCUCUAGUCUAUGUGGCUCUAGUCUAUGUGGCUCUAGUCUAUGCGGGAAGUAGCCUAUAGGCUAUAGAUUCCCACAUUGCAAAAAAGAGAGCACCAUCUGAAUUUGCUAACAUUGCUAAUGAAGGAAUGAUGCACAGUUGUCUUAGCAUAGAUGAAUGGGGCCAUACUUGCGAACAUUAGAAAAAUUGAAAUCGUUGACGUAGUUGCAUAUGAUGAAAGGUUACGUGUUAGCUGUUCCCAUUAUAUAAGUUUGCACAUUUAGACCUAUGCUAACCUCGGCAGGUGGCCGUGAUUAUUUCCUGUAACAAACUGCCCUCUUUUUCUUGACAAACUAAUGGCAUUUCUUAAAAUAGGUCAAUAUCACCACCAGAGAGAUACAUUUAAACCUCCAAAUUCAAGGUUUACUUUUACAUUUAAGUCUUAUCCAGAGCGACUUACAGUAGUGAAUGCAUACAUUUUUUUUUUUCCCAUACUGGCCCCCCGUGGGAAUCGAACCCACAACCCUGGCAUUGCAAACACCAUUGCAAACACCAUGCUCUACCAACUGAGCCACAGUUGUUCCCCUUCAAUUGGUCUGUCUCAAGUGUAGAGUGCCAAUAUUGCAUGAUUGUCGCCUCCUUGACUAGGAUAAUUAUGCUUCGUUUGUAACCAAGUGGGAGGCAGAAAUGCACCAGUUGUGAAGUCGUAAAUACCAGUUGGAUGCAUUCACGUGCUUUGAACUCGUUGAGAAAUGCCAAUUGGCUAAUGACCAACAAGCUGCGUAAACCAUAAACUAAAAGUACAACAAGAAGUGGGAGCUCAGGAUGAUAAACAAGUUUCCCACAAGGAAUGACCAGUUGUAGGGCCGUUCAAGUGGAUUUUUUCCAUUCGUAUGGGAUAAAAGCCCACUUUCCAGUUGGUUACGAAUGCAGCACUGCUAACGUUACGUUUUUGCAAAUAUGGCAUAACUGUGGGUUCGAGACCCCUCGCUUUAAACAUUUUUGUUAAUAUUAAUGAAAACACUGUUCAUUGCUUUUAAUGCAUAUACAAGUUUAGUGUAGGCCUACACGUCUAUGCAUAUAGCCUAUACUAUAGUAGCGUUGAUUAUUUAUGUAGCAGUGUCAGUAGCCUAUGUGUCGGUCUGCAAGACGCUCCGACAAGAAGCUCAUGAAAUGGACUCACGAUAAACUUCUUUAAAAUAACUACAAUAUUGCAUCUGUAGGAUGAUAAUGAGAGUGCAACCUGUAAUCCUACUGUAUUAAACUUUGUAAUACCUAUGUAAGAAUGCUGUUCAUUGACUACAGCUCAGCAUUCAACACCAUAGUACCAUCCAAGCUCAUCAUUAAGCUGGAGGCCCUGGGUGUCAACCCCGACCAGUGAAAUUGGGUCCUGGUGGUGAAGGUAGGAAACAACAUCUCCACUUCGCUGAACCUCAACACUGGGGCCUCAUAAGGGUGUGUGCUCAGCCCCCUCCUGUACUCCCUGUUCACCCAUGACUGCGUGGCCAUGCACGCCUCCAACUCAAUCAUCAAGUUUACAGACGACACAACAGUAGUGGGCUUGAUUACCAACAAAGACGAGACAGCCUACAGGGAGGAGGUAAGGGCACUCAGAGUGUGGUGUCAGGAAAACAACCUCUCACUCAAUGUCAACAAAACAAAGGAGACGAUCGUGGACUUCAGGAAACAGCAGAGUGGAGAAGGUGGAAAGUUUUAAGUUUCUCGGCGUACACAUCACAGACAAACUGAAAUGGUCUACUCACACAGACAGUGUGGUGAAGAAAGCGCAACAGCGCCUAUUCAACCUCAGGAGGAUGAAGAAAUUUGGCUUGUCACCUAAAACCCUGACAAACUUUUACAGAUGCACAAUUGAGAGCAUUCUGUCGGGCUGUAUCACCGCCUGGUACGGCAACUGCACUGCCCUCAACGGCAAGGCUCUCCAGAGGGUGGUGCGGUCUGCACAACGCAUCACCGGGGGCAAACUACAAACCGGGGGCAGGACACUUACAGCACCCAAUGUCACAGGAAGGCCAAAAAGAUCAUCAAGGACAACAACCACCUGAGCCACUGCCUGUUCACCCCGCUACCAUCCAGAAGGCGAGAUCAGUACAGGUGCAUCAAAGUUGGGACCGAGAGACUGAAAAACAGCUUCUAUCUCAAGCCCAUCAGACUGCUAAACAGCAAUCACUAACUCAGAGAGGCUGCUGCCUACAUAGAGACUCACUAGUCACUUUAAACAAUGCCACUUUAAUAUUUACAUAUCUUACAUUACUCAUCUCAUAUGUAUAUAUUGUAUCUUAUACCAUCUAUUGCAUCUUGCCAAUGCAGCUUGGCCAAU